UAAUACGCUGGCGGCGUGCCUAANACAUGCAAGUCGAGCGCCCUACACUUUGCUANCUGACAUGUACGAACCCUGAGGCUAUGCGAAAUCAAGAAACACACGCNAUGUAACAUAAUUUCUAAGUUGUUAUCUCGGUUUCUUCUUUCAAGUUUCGAGUUUUCCAACACAGUGUGUAGGGAGCGGCGGACGGCUGAGUAACGCGUAGGAAUGUACCCCAAAGUGAGGGAUAAGCACCGGAAACGGUGUCUAAUACCGCAUAUAAUCUUCGGAUUAAAGCCUUUACGGGCGCUUUGGGAACAGCCUGCGUCUGAUUAGUUAGUUGGUGAGGUAAAGGCUCACCAAGACAAUGAUCGGUAGCUGGUCUGAGAGGAUGAUCAGCCAGACUGGGACUGAGACACGGCCCAGACUCCUACGGGAGGCAGCAGUAGGGAAUUUUCCACAAUGGACGAAAGUCUGAUGGAGCAACGCCGCGUGCAGGAUGAAGGCCUUCGGGUCGUAAACUGCUUUUAUAUAUGAAGAUUUUGACGGUAGUAUAUGAAUAAGGAUCGGCUAACUCCGUGCCAGCAGCCGCGGUCAUACGGAGGAUCCAAGCGUUAUCCGGAAUUACUGGGCGUAAAGAGUUGCGUAGGCGGUCAAGUAAGCAAAGAAUGAAAUGAUGUGGCUCAACCACAUGCCCAUGCUUUGAACUGCUUUGACUAGAGAAUGGAAGAGGUUACUAGAAUUCCUGGUGUAGGGGUGAAAUCCGUAGAUAUCAGGAGGAAUACCGAUGGCGUAGGCAGGUAACUGGUCCAUUUCUGACGCUCAGGCACGAAAGCGUGGGGAGCGAUCGGGAUUAGAUACCCCGGUAGUCCACGCCGUAAACGAUGGAUGCUAGCUGUAGAGGGUAUCGACCCCCCCUGUAGCAAAGCUAACGCGUUAAGCAUCCCGCCUGUGGAGUACGAGCGCAAGCUUAAAACAUAAAGGAAUUGACGGGGACCCGCACAAGCGGUGGAGCGUGUUGUUUAAUUCGAUGCAAAGCGUAGAACCUUACCCAGGCUUGAAAUCCUGCGAAGGUCUGCGAAAGCAGACUGUGCCUUUUGGAACGCAGUGACAGGUGAUGCAUGGCCGUCGUCAGCUCGUGUCGUGAGAUGUUAGGUUAAGUCCUUCAACGAGCGCAACCCCUAUAGUUAGUUGGAUUUUUCUAGCUAGACUGCCCUGGUAACAGGGAGGAAGGAGGGGACGAUGUCAGGUCCGUAUCUCCCUUACGUCUGGGGCUACAAACACGCUACAAUGGCCGGUACAGAGGGCAGCUAAGCUGUGAAGUGGAGCAAAUCCCAUCAAAACCGGUCCCAGUUCGGAUUGUAGGCUGAAACUCGCCUACAUGAAGUCGGAAUCGCUAGUAACGGCAGGUCAGCACACUGCCGUGAAUACGUUCCCGGGUCUUGUACACACCGCCCGUCAAAUCACGAAAGUCGUCAAUACCUGACGUCCCACCUUGAGUGGGCCUAAGGUAGGGGUA
rnacentral:rRNA from 1 species